rnacentral:other from 1 species
CCGAUCCUGCGGUGUUCGUGAUGUUGUCCGUAGUCUUGAGCCGAUAAAGAAACGAGUCAGGGAGCCCCCAGCCGAACGGUGAUCCGUACGGGGCCGGGGCGCCCACCUGCGAAAGCAGGUUCAAGACUCCGUUGCACACGGCACAGGUGGGAUCGGC